GGGGGGGGGUAGGAGAGAUGACACUCAAACAAGCUUCUCUCAUCAGUGUGAUCAACACCUGCAUCAGACAUCAUGGUAAACUGUUAUGACUCUCUAAAACGAUGCAGAAAGUUAAGGAUAGACCAGAACUCUCUUUAAUAGCCUGUUAAAAAUGUCUGGACAAAAUACAACAGUGUGAGAUAUAUAUGAAUAAGAAGUUCUCAGAUGAGGUGUUCUCAGUGCAUGGGAUGUCUAAGCACAAAGUGAGAAUAUUUAGUGAUUAAAACACAUGCUGGAUCAGCGGCGUCUAUGUUCUCCCUAAAGGAUAGGUUCUGGUUGUAGACUUGGAUAAUAAUACAGUCAAGCUACUGAACUAGCAGUACCAGGUUGUGAGUCACUGGAGUGUUGCUGCGUAUCCAAGGGACAUAUGCCAGAUUUCAUCCAGUGGGGUAGCAGUGGCUAUGCCUGACGGGGUCCAGUUUAUCACUGUCACCCAGAGCCAUCUGGUUCUUCAAUGAGCAGAAGACAGUUAUGCAGACUUUAUUAAGAUAAAAUCAGAAGGUAAUACAGAGUAGGUUCCUAAAAGACCAUCAUCAGUCACAGAUCGGUUUCCAGUCUAGCAGCGGGCUCUCUGAUAUGUUGAGCCAAGAAGGUUGGGGACAUUGCUCGAGCUUUUGCAGCAACGGACUAUUUGCUCAGGACCUAAAGGCGAACGCCUAACACACCAUACCCUCGUCGGUGUACGGCAAGUCUUACCCUGGUUCUCAUACUAUUCCGGCUCACAGUCUUCAUCCACAAGGAAUACAUUGCCUAGCUAAUGAACAGUGUCCGAGCGUGGAACAUUUAAGAGGAACAGGAUCCUGGGUCAGCAUGGUACCAAUCUAGCAAAAAAAAAGUCUAGCAGCUGCCCCCUAGAAGGAGCCUCGUUAGCCCCAGGGUGGAGUCAUGAUGCCCCUGGAUCAACAACUCUCCCGGGAUCUUCACAACAUUAAUAGAGCAACAUGGCCUUUCAGGUGCCUCUUGAUACAGCAAUUAUCUCAAAUAUCUCUCUGAUGGCGGACAGCUGUACACAUCGCAAAAUGAGCGCUUCAUGAUUAGCUGCCAGCAGUAUCCACGCAACAAACCUAUGAACACCCAACAACAGCUUCAUCAGCAUAAGGGGUCGAGUAAGCCAUCAACAAUGUUUGGGAAGACUAGGCAGUAGUUUGUUUGAACAUCAGCUCAGUAUGGAUUGUUUAUCAAUAUUUUCUAAUUGAGUUAAGAAUGUAAGUUGUAAAUUUUACUGCUUAAUAAUUCUUAUUUGAGAAGGAUAAAUUGCCAUUUUGGUGAAAGGGUAAUAUAGAGGGUUUUUGCUCUAAAUAUAGACUCGUAUUAG